rnacentral:rRNA from 1 species
UUAGCCUACGGGGGGCAGCAGUGAGGAAUAUUGGUCAAUGGGCGCGAGCCUGAACCAGCCAAGUCGCGUGAGGGAGGACGGCCCUACGGGUUGUAAACCUCUUUUGCCGGGGAGCAACGCGCGUCACGUGUGGCGCCACUGAGAGUACCCGGAGAAAAAGCAUCGGCUAACUCCGUGCCAGCAGCCGCGGUAAUACGGAGGAUGCGAGCGUUAUCCGGAUUUAUUGGGUUUAAAGGGUGCGUAGGUGGUUAAUUAAGUCAGCGGUGAAAGUUUGUGGCUCAACCAUAAAAUUGCCGUUGAAACUG